CGUCUGUGUGUUUGUGUGUGUGUGUGGAGACAGACGGUGGACUGUGUGUGUGUGUUGCCAUCUGUUAACUAUUUGUCCUCUCAUAUCUACCCACCUAUCCGUCUGUAUGUAUAUAAGUGUAAAAUAAAGAUGGCCUCAAAGGUGUGCGAUAGCAGGCAACUCUCAAAGUAUCUUUGAAUAUAUUUCAAAGAGUUCACUGUACAGGCAUGCGCACACAAACACACUUCUGCACGCAUGCUGAAGCACACGUAGCACUCCCAUCUACGCACGCACAGAUCAGCCUAUACACGCCUGUGGGAAGAAUGGUAUUGUGACCUUUGAUCAGUCUAAGACACCGCACAAUGGCGUGCUCCGUGCAACACUUGCCACACCCGGGUGUAUCACCCAGUGGGUAGCCAGCCCCGGACAAGGAGACGUACAGUUGUCUCCGCGUCCUGCUGCGUGAAGGUGGGUGCAAGUUUUCAUCAUCUGCAUGCCCGGCCUUGGGAAAAAUUGGGAACCUUUGAACUGCGGGUGGGAUUCUGCGACUCCCGUUACAAGGGUCCGCUGCACACCCCACAGUUGACGGCUGAUUUGCAAGGCAAAUGCGACUUUCAGUGUGAACAGAGGACAUCACAACAGUGGAAUGUGAGUUAGAAAAACGAGCGCAAAAAAUUGUCUGUCAGAGGCAGGCUGUGUUGUUUUGUCGCCGUUGGCGGUCUGGAGACACAGAAGGGAUGUUCAGUUCAGAUGGCCGGCCUUCCGUUACUGGAUCAAUCCGUGGCCGGGUCAGUGGUUCCAAGUUCGCUGGUCCUACCUACCAUCUGUACCGUGGGUCCAAGUCACUUUUCUGGAGAGGUCGAGGUUCCACUUGAGCUGGAGAUUCGUUGCAAUACGCAGAGCAGUGUGUAGAGGAAUCGUCAGUCACGAAUUAAAACUCCACAGAGGAUGAAGUCUAGAAGAAAGAAAGCCAUGUUGUCCAAAGCUUACAGAAAGUUUUUCUAGACAAUGAAUAUGCGACACAUUUUUUUUUUUACUCCCCUUGUAACGAAAGUUCGACGGUCAAGGCUGACAGGAGAACCAACACCUGUCUCCAAACCAGGUGAAGCCAAGUGGAUCAGAUGGUCGUGAUGGACGAAACUCUGCUUGGAAUCUGGGUGGUGUCUGACACAUGAGCUCCUAACUCACAGUCGUUACCCUUCGUUUACCAGCAAACCUGGGCCUCAGGGUGAAAGUAUUCACCUCUCACCACAACAAAGACUUUAUACAAUAUAUUACCUUUGGCAACACUUUAUGGCAAGAGGACAGAGCUGUAAUAUUGUUUAGGAACCAUUCGAUCUACUUCGAAUAUUAAAACAAAAACACAUCAUGU
rnacentral:lncRNA from 1 species